GACGAACGCUGGCGGCGUGCUUAACACAUGCAAGUCGAACGGAGUGGCGAGCGGGUGAGUAACACGUGGCUGACCUCCCUUGCACUUCGGGCUAAGCCUGGGAAACUGGGUUUAAUACCGGUUAGUGUGGGAUGGGCUCGCGUCCUAUCGGCUUGUUGGUGGGGUAUUGGCCUACCAAGGCGGCGGCGGGUAGCCGGCCUGGGAGGGUGGACGGCCACAAUGGGACUGAGAGACGGCCCAGACGCCUACGGGAGGCAGCAGUGGGGAAUAUUGCACAAUGGGGGGAAGCCUGAUGCAGCGACGCCGGGUGGGGGAUGACGGCCUUCGGGUUGAAAACUCCUUUCACCAUCGACGCGGUAGAUGAAGAAGAAGCACCGGCUAACUACGUGCCAGCAGCCGCGGUAAUUC
rnacentral:rRNA from 1 species